CUGGCCCUGUGCAGCGGCAGUCGGUGGGGGGGACUGAGGGCUGGGGACAGGCUUUUCACUUUCCACAGCAGUUCAAGACUGGGUGUGAGCACAGACUCUUCUUUCCAGCUGGGAAUUACAAGUUUUUCCAGCGACACCACAACAGCAAUGUCUCCCUGAGAGACCGUGGCUGCGUUCCCUUUGGAUGUUGCUGUGAAGUUCACAGGUGCCGGUCGUCACUCCACCAGGUCCCCCCCUUGCCAAAAGAGACCAGUCCUUCAGCAUGUGUCCCAUAAUUUCACUUCCUCCCAACUACAGACCAAGGAACUCAACCCCUCUUUGUGUUGUGAGCCUCUUCAGAUGACCUUUAGAACAGCACAGUCUACAAAUAGACCCUUACCCACAAACAGCUGCUUCUGCUGAGCUCUAUUCAAUACCACAGAAUACACAGAUGUACCCAAAAGUGGUUACGAUCAGUGCAGCAAUGUUUUAGGUUAAUAAAUGCCAUUGAGUGGUAUUUGAUACAUUAGUUGAUUCUGAUUCUGUUGUUGAAACACAUACCUGUAUCAUGAAUAUUUUCUAGCUGGGUGUAUUUUGGCUGUAUUUUGUCCAUGAUGGACUGGGGUGUUUAUGCUGAGGCCACUGUUUUAAUCUUAAUGAUGUUCUACUCAUGCAUACACACGCACACCCACACACAGAUCACACACACACUGCUCACUUACACACGCACAAUCACACCACACACUUACACACACAUGCGCGCGCACACCCCACACUGUACAAACAUGCACAGUCACAAACACACACCCACACACAAACACACCGCACACUCACACAUACACACUCACAAAUAGACCAAACACUUAAACAUACAGAAUGCACUCACACACUCUUACACCCAAAACACAUACUAUACUUUGCAUGCUUUUGUGAUACAGUAUAUGGGUGAAUAUUUCAAUCAUUGUUCAAAUGUUUAUCAACACUCUUAAACUCACAUAGCAGCUUUCACUUCUAUACUGUAAUAUGCAAAAUGACAAUGUUCCCUGCCUCAUCUAUUAUCUGUCAUGUUCAGCACUGGUAAACAUAUUUACUGGCUGGUAGCUGAUAUAGGGCAGACUUUAUUCUAAAACACCAGCCAGUAUUCACACACGGGAAUGCACACACAAACACACAUAUGUAUGCACAUGUACGCACACACACAUACAAACACACACACACACACACACACUUUGAGUAAAAGCAGAUUUCUUACCUACUG